GGAGGGAUGGCUGAGUGGUCGAAAGCGGCAGAUUGCUAAUCUGUUGUACAGAUUUUUUUGUACCGAGGGUUCGAAUCCCUCUCUCUCCU
rnacentral:tRNA from 1 species